AUUGAACGCUGGCGGCAGGCCUAACACAUGCAAGUCGAGCGGUAGAGAGAAGCUUGCUUCUCUUGAGAGCGGCGGACGGGUGAGUAAUGCCUAGGAAUCUGCCUGAUAGUGGGGGAUAACGUCCGGAAACGGACGCUAAUACCGCAUACGUCCUACGGGGGAAAGUGGGGGCUCUUCGGACCUCACGCUAUCAGAUGAGCCUAGGUCGGAUUAGCUAGUUGGUGGGGUAAAGGCUCACCAAGGCGACGAUCCGUAACUGGUCUGAGAGGAUGGUCAGUCACACUGGAACUGAGACACGGUCCAGACUCCUACGGGAGGCAGCAGUGGGGAAUAUUGGACAAUGGACGAAAGCCUGAUCCAGCCAUGCCGCGUGUGUGAAGAAGGUCUUCGGAUUGUAAAGCACUUUAAGUUGGGAGGAAGGGUCGUUACCUAAUACGUGGCGAUUUUGACGUUACCGACAGAAUAAGCACCGGCUAACUCUGUGCCAGCCGCCGCAGUAAUAC
rnacentral:rRNA from 1 species